rnacentral:sRNA from 1 species
AGGGUAUCACGACAUAGAUCUUAGAGGCAAAAGGAUGACACAUCAUACCAUCUUAGGGAGCAUCUCUAUCAGUAGUAUCUCAUAGAGUAUUUGGA